GGAUUUUGCGAAACUCGACCCUUAAGGGGGUAAAACGGGGGUUGGUAGUUUGUAUGAAAGUCCUAUGUUUUUGAAGUAAGAGACUUGAAAUUUGAACAAAACUAAUCAGAAUAAAGAACAAAAUAGAAUAGAACAGAACAGAAUAGAACAGAAAAGAAUAGAACAGAAUAGAAUAGAACAGAAUAAAAACAGAACAGAAUAGAACAGAACAGAAUAGAACAGAAUAGAACAGCAUAGAACAGAAUAGAACAGAAUAGAACAGAACAGAAUAGAACAGAAUAAGAACAGAACAGAACAGAUCAGAAUAGAACAGAACAGAAUAGAAUAGAACAGAACAGAAUAGAAUAGAACAGAAUAAGAACAGAACAGAACAGAAUA
rnacentral:misc_RNA from 1 species